AUUGAACGCUGGCGGCAGGCCUAACACAUGCAAGUCGAGCGGAGCGGCGGACGGGUGAGUAAUUCCUAGGUAUAUGCCUGGUAGUGGGGGAUAACGUCCGGAAAAGGGCGCUAAUACCGCAUACUAUCAGAUGAGCCUAGGUCGGUUUAGCUAGUUGGUGGGGCAAAGGCCUACCAAGGCGACGAUCCGUAACUGGUCUGAGAGGAGUAUCAGGCACACUGGAACUGAGACACGGUCCAGACUCCUACGGGAGGCAGCAGUGGGGAAUAUUGGACAAUGGGCGAAAGCCUGAUACAGCCAUGCCGAGUGUGUGAAGAAGGUCUUCGGAUUGUAAAGCACUUUAAGUUGGGAGGCGUUACCAACAGAAUAAGCACCGGCUAACUUCGUGCCAGCAGCCGCGGUAAUUC
rnacentral:rRNA from 1 species